AUCUGGUUGAUCCUGCCAGUAGUCAUACGUUGGUUUCAAAGAUUAAGCCAUGCAUGUGUAAGUAUAAAUAAUUUUACUUUGAAACUGCGAAUGGCUCAUUAUAUCAGUUAUAGUUUAUUAGAAAUAUUUUACUACUUGGAUAACCGUAGUAAUUCUAGGGCUAAUACAUGAGUAAAACCUCAACUUCGGAAGAGGUGUGUUUAUUAGUAUGAAAACCAUAUAUCUUCGGAUAUAAUAGUGAGUAAUAAUAACCUUUCAUAUCGUAUGUCGUAAGAUAACGAUAGUUCUUUCAAGUUUCUGCCCUAUCAGCUUUCGAUGGUAGUAUAUGGGACUACCAUGGCAGUAACGGGUAACGAAGAAUUUGGGUUCGAUUUCGGAGAGGGAGCCUGAGAGAUGGCUACCACAUCCAAGGAAGGCAGCAGGCGCGUAAAUUACCCAAUCCUGACAUAGGGAGGUAGUGACAAUAAAUCACAAUGCGGAACUUUUAGUUUUGCAAUUGGAUUGAGAACAAUGUACAAAUGUUAUCGAUAAACAAUUGGAGGGCAAGUCUGGUGCCAGCAGCCGCGGGAAUUCCAGCUCCAAUAACGUAUAUUAACGUUGUUGCAGUUAAAAAGCUC
rnacentral:rRNA from 1 species